ACUUCCACUGUGAAAUCAGUCCCGCACCAGGUGGACAGAGCUUGUCUCCCACUGCGAUCCUGCACGAGCUCUUCUGCUGGUGUCCAUAAAUAAGCCAGAUCACCUCAAAAGAGCAACUUCAUCUCCAGCUCUGGUCCAGCAUGUGAGCUCCCAGUUCCUUCUUAAGUAGUUCCUGUGGCUCCUACACAAGCUUCCCUGCCUCCCAGUUCUAUAAAACUGACAGCAAGCUUUAUUUAGAAGCCUUUGAGCGGGCUUAACUCCCCAGCAGUUUUCUUAGGUGUAUGCAGAAGUAUAUACUACACUGUGUGCUCACGUGUGUACACACACACACACACACAGAGAGAGAGAGAGAGAAGCUCAACCCAGCAUCCCCUCUGGGAAAAGGCAGCCCACCUUGAGAAGUAACCUUUAGGGAGAAUCAAAGCUCUGCAAGUGGAACCUUGUUUUCCUUAACUAUUCAUCCAACUAACGCUUCAUCUUCUCUAUCAAAAAGGUGUAUACUACACACCAUUUGCAAAACUUGAAUCUUACGGGAGUCAACUCCCAUUUGCUAGCUACAGAUAUAUCUGUUUGCUGACAUGAAGAAAAUCUGGAAAACUACACUUGUGUUUCAAUCAUCUUAACUUGACUACAAGGAUUGUAAUCCCCAGCAGGAGAAAGCAGAAUCUGAGAGGCGAACUGAGUAUCUCAAGUGGACAUACUAUGCAGACCAGUGAAGAAGUAGUAAGCCUGGAGUCGGCCAGCAUCCAGACCACACACCGGGGCCAUGGCACUGACCCCUGCUUCCCUCAUGGACAAGCUCAGGAGCUACAUCUAUGCUGUGCAAUUCUGUGGACUCACUGCGGUUCUUUGAACUGAUGGCGGCUGCAUGCUCUGAGACACACUUGAGAGGCUUCUCAAGACCCCAGUUUGCACAGACUGUGUCUCUCCAAAUAUAACAGAUGUGAUCCACUCCAAGCAAAAAGUUCCGAAGCUCAGAGAACAAUGGGAAGAUGACAGUGAUGCGUCCGGAUUUCUUAUUUCUGUCAACACUUACUGGAUUCUUUUCUCUUCUCACGGGAAUAAAGAGAAUGCAGCAAAAGUAA